UACGAACUGUGCAAACGUUAUUCGGAUUCACUGGGCUUAAAGGGUGCGUAGGCGGCCAUGUAAGUAGGGUGUGAAAUCCCCCGGCUUAACCGGGGAACUGCGCCCUAAACUGUAUGGCUGGAGUGAGAUAGGGGUGUGUGGAACUUCCGGUGGAGCGGUGAAAUGUGUUGAUAUCGGAAGGAACGCCGGUGGCGAAAGCGACACACUGGGUCUCAACUGACGCUGAGGCACGAAAGC
rnacentral:rRNA from 1 species